CUCGUGGUAGGGGACCGAAGGCCGCUGGCUCUGGGCUGCCUUCGCGGCUCUCUGACUCGUACCGGUGUCCCUCUGCUGCUCAGGCCUCCCUUUCGGCGCGGUACGGUCUCAUGGUUUGGGAUGGUCUCCUCAGACGGGGCGGUUGAACAGGAUUGCUGUUUGUUCCUGGUUUACCUGCAGUGGGGAGAUAUUAGGAGGAAUAGGAAAGCGGUUCUGUAGGUAAGAAACAAGGAAAAGUUUUGUUGCUCAGAUAAGAGCAGCAAGUAUAAUUUCUUUUUCAUUUUUUUACAAUGUGUUUGUUCUCUGCUAAGAGUGAACCUCACACUUUUGGGUUUUAGCAGCUAUUUUGUUUAUUGACUUUGUCUGUCGGUAAUGUAGUUUUUGCAUUAAUAUUUUCAUGAGCAUGCUCUUGACGUUUUUAUUAAACGAUAAUGCAGUAAGACAGUGUUUAUAGAUCUCUGAACUUUAUUUUGUAUUUUUAGUUUAUGAAAAGUGGUUAAAUAUUUCCAAAAGAGUAUCUUAAUAUACAAAUAUACAUACGUUUGUGAAUUGUUAGUAAAAUCAGUACAUCACGACAACUUUUCUAAGGCCUUCAAAAUUUUGAUCUGCCUAAUAGUCACAGGAAUAACAUUAUUUUACAGGAA
rnacentral:lncRNA from 1 species